UACGUAGGGGGCAAGCGUUGUCCGGAAUUAUUGGGCGUAAAGAGCGCGUAGGCGGUCCGAUAAGUCGGCUGUGAAAGUCAGGGGCUCAACCCUGGAAGCCGGCCGAUACUGUCGGACUAGAGUCCGGAAGAGGCGAGUGGAAUUCCCGGUGUAGCGGUGAAAUGCGCAGAUAUCGGGAGGAACACCAAUGGCGAAGGCAGCUCGCUGGGACGGUACUGACGCUGAGGCGCGAAAGCGUGGGGAGCAAACAGG
rnacentral:rRNA from 1 species